GACGAACGCUGGCGGCGUGCUUAACACAUGCAAGUCGAACGGAAAUGCCCUGCUUUUGUGGGGUGCUCGCGUGGCGAACGGGUGAGUAACACGUGAGUAACCUUCCCUUUACUUUGGGAUAACUUCAGGAAACUGGGGCUAAUACCGGAUAGUAGCUCCUGCUGCAUGGUGGGGGUUGGAAAGUUUCGGCGGUUGGGGAUGGACUCGCGGCUUAUCAGCUUGUUGGUGGGGUAGUGGCUUACCAAGGCUUUGACGGGUAGCCGGCCUGAGAGGGUGACCGGCCACAUUGGGACUGAGAUACGGCCCAGAAUCCUACGGGAGGCAGCAGUGGGGAAUAGUGCAAAAUGGGCGGAAGCCUGAUGCAGCAACGCCGCGUGCGGGAUGAAGGCCUUCGGGUUGUAAACCGCUUUCGCCUGUGACGAAGCGUGAGUGACGGUAAUGGGUAAAGAAGCACCGGCUAACUACGUG
rnacentral:rRNA from 1 species